rnacentral:rRNA from 1 species
GGUUAAGCGACUAAGCGUACACGGUGGAUGCCCUGGCAGUCAGAGGCGAUGAAGGACGUGCUAAUCUGCGAUAAGCGUCGGUAAGGUGAUAUGAACCGUUAUAACCGGCGAUUUCCGAAUGGGGAAACCCAGUGUGAUUCGUCACACUAUCAUUAACUGAAUCCAUAGGUUAAUGAGGCGAACCGGGGGAACUGAAACAUCUAAGUACCCCGAGGAAAAGAAAUCAACCGAGAUUCCCCCAGUAGCGGCGAGCGAACGGGGAGGAGCCCAGAGCCUGAAUCAGUGUGUGUGUUAGUGGAAGCGUCUGGAAAGGCGCGCGAUACAGGGUGACAGCCCCGUACACAAAAAUGCACAUGCUGUGAGCUCGAUGAGUAGGGCGGGACACGUGGUAUCCUGUCUGAAUAUGGGGGGACCAUCCUCCAAGGCUAAAUACUCCUGACUGACCGAUAGUGAACCAGUACCGUGAGGGAAAGGCGAAAAGAACCCCGGCGAGGGGAGUGAAAAAGAACCUGAAACCGUGUACGUACAAGCAGUGGGAGCCUCUUUAUGGGGUGACUGCGUACCUUUUGUAUAAUGGGUCAGCGACUUAUAUUCUGUAGCAAGGUUAACCGAAUAGGGGAGCCGAAGGGAAACCGAGUCUUAACUGGGCGUUAAGUUGCAGGGUAUAGACCCGAAACCCGGUGAUCUAGCCAUGGGCAGGUUGAAGGUUGGGUAACACUAACUGGAGGACCGAACCGACUAAUGUUGAAAAAUUAGCGGAUGACUUGUGGCUGGGGGUGAAAGGCCAAUCAAACCGGGAGAUAGCUGGUUCUCCCCGAAAGCUAUUUAGGUAGCGCCUCGUGAA